UAAUACGUCUUCCCGCAUUGUUUACGUAUUCAGGAAAAACGGCCCCCGCGAAGCGAACUCUCCCGUCGUCCGUCGACACCGCCGCUGGGCGACCGAAUAUCCGGAUGGGCGACGCGCCGGCGCGCCGCUGAGGCAGGGCAACACUGAGCGGCAGCUUCUGUAAGAGCAGAGGAGGACUGGCCCUUCGUUUUAAGAGCAGAGGAGGACCCGAUUCCUCGUGUUCGGCUUCGUCCUUGAUUUCUUCGUCACUGGUGAGCACCCAAAUCAAGAACCCUAUUCUGAUGCUUCCCCGCUCCUAUUUUUGCCCCCCAACAUUUGUGCAACUCCUGUUAGCUGUAUCGAUAUCGAUCAAUAUAAUUACAAAAUGUAAACGAUUUGUGUAUCUUCGGUAGCUAGCUUCUUUUCUGUGUCCGUGGAUAAUUGAUUGGACUUUGUGUUUUGCAUCACGUACGGGCCGUUUAUCUGCGAAUAGAGUCUUUCACUGUCGAAGUUCGGAAUUCUAUUGUAGUUGUUCUAAUCAAUUUCUUCGGUUGUCCGGUGUAUUGUUAGAUGAUGCUACCGCGAUCUCUCGGCCUGUACUUUUCGGUUUGGUGAUAGCAUUGGCUGCAUCUUGAUUCAUUAUUUGAUCUUUCCUAAGGUUGUUCUUGAUUUUCAGUUAUAUAUUCCUGAACUGGAUACUAGAUGGAACGCAUAGCAAAUUAGCAAUAAACAUUGCAGUUUUGACGCUUUGCUUGAUGAAAAGGAUCAUAUACAUAGAGGCCGCUCAUGCCAUCCUCAGUUUGAAUUCCAUGGAAAUCUGAUCAUGAGAUGCUUCACAGUGAGUGCAGCAACUUCCCAUACCACGUUACAACUCCUUUAACUCAAUCUGUCUGGCAUGUUACUGACUCUCGGAUUGACAAAGAACAUGUACAUCACUAAUUGAUUUGAAAGCUGACGGUUUAAGUUGGCUUGUCAGGAGAGAAACUUCAGAUCUUUAGAGAACCUGGAGCCCGGUGUUCUGUCAGAAAGUUUACACAAGCUACCAGCUCAAACUUCUACGAAUGUGACUUCAAUGUAAAUAACUAAAUAAGGUUUGACUACUACCAUAAUGAUACCAUCCAAUACUUUCUUUGUUUAUACUACUUUAUUAAACAUGUAUAGAUUUCCUUCAUUAUACGAUAAAGUUGUGCUGCCUAGGAGCAAAGAUAUCUUUGCAGGUUUUUAUGUAAUAUAUGCCAACUUAUUCGUUUUAACUUUGUAGAAGCUUCUUUAGACCGACCAUCAAACAGUUAGUACUAUAUUCAUUAAUCACAUCGUUAUGAAUUCGUUGUAUACCGUUUAAUCCUACUCGCCAGUGAUCUGUUUGGAAAUCAAAACAAGUGGGAUGCUUAGCCACCAUGUUCUUUUGCAUAAGUAAUUACUAUCGGUAUCAGCAGAGUCACUUGUGCAAAUAAUGACCUGGCUCUGACAUAGAAGAGUAUUGACUUUACUAAAGCAGAUUAUCUGAGAAAUGGGACUGGUAACAAUUGAGGAGUGAGUUCCAAGAUUAGAAGUUCAUGUCUUCCACAAGACUAUUCAGAAAGCGAUCUAGAGCAGAAUAAAGUACUCGCCCCAGUUCACAAAUAAGUAACACUUUGGAUAUUGACACGGUCUUCAAGACGUACCUUUAACUACUAGUUUCUAUUGGAGUGUAUAUACAAAACUAAAUAAAUUAUAUUAUUAUGAAAAUAUUUUUUGAGACAAAUAUAUACAGAUGAUUUUCAAUUUUUCAAUCUAAAUAUUUGAAAUAACAUUGCUAGUCAAAGUUUCAAAAGUUUGACCGAAGUUAUCUCCACAACGUCACUUAUUUGUGAACUGGGGAUACUCAUUUUCAAUAUACCAAGAAGAUUCUACGAAAUUACUGUCAGAUUUUUUUUUUGUUCUUUAGAGUAUUUUAUUUCUCAGGAUUUAUGGGUGCUUGGCAGUGCAAACGAGGCGGGUUUCAAAUAACAAGCAUGCAAUGUUAAGAAUUCGGUGUGUUUGAGCUUUUAUCAUGUUUUUGGCAUUUCUGCCAUUUGAACUAACAUUAAUGGUAUGCAAUUAUGAGUGCAGUUGCCUGACUUUUAGUGUUUAGCAUGGACCGUUUCUUUUUAGAAGCCAACUAAUUACACUGCAGUGGAUAGUUUUGUGGCUGAUGCUUUUUUUUUGAGCUCCAAGAUGGAGGCUGGAUCAGGUAAAUUAGUUAUAGAUAAUCAUGAAGAACUAGUAGCAAAAAUCAUACUAUAUACUAGUGCAACUUCUGUAGUUCACAAUAUAUCUGCAAGUGUAGUUGUAUCAUUUAAAAGUUUGGUCUGUAUUUAGCUGCCAAGUAUACAGGUUAUAGAACAUUGGCAGGUGUACUUGUGCAGUUGUGCUACCUGCCUGUCAUGGAGUCACCCAGAAUUGCACUGGGCUCCGGCAAAGACUGUGGCUCUGGACCUCUGGUGGCAUGUAGAUCAAUUUGUAUGUUCUAGGCAGGAACUUAACACUGAAUGACAUCUUGAGGUAUUCUAGUUAGAAAAUGGAUGGUAACUGCUUCUUGUUGAGCAUGAUGAACAAUUAGGUAGCAGAUAUUCGGAUUGAGCUGCAUUUCUUAAAAAGAACUUCCUGCUCAGACAUAAGGUUUGAAUGUUGCGCUGUAAUUUUUUGUUAGUUUUAGAAAAUAAAGACUGUCAGCAAGCACUAUUUCCUUAUGCAUUACUGUUACCAUCCCCAACUCUGCUAAUGAUACCGCAGCACUGCAUUUUUUUUCUCUUGAAUGCAUCACUGCAUAUCGUACUUGUUUAUUUAUUUUCUCCAUAUACAGGAUCCUAUGAUAAAAACGGCAAAUCUUCUAAUUCUGAGGAGUGAGGACAAUGGCAUGACUGAAAAGAACAGCUGGCUUACUGGAUAUUGCACAUUGCUUGGUUCCGUUAAUCGUCUGGAGUGAGAAUGUGAGAUUGCCGUGUCCACAAUGCUUUCAGAGUUACUAGUUUUAUGCUUAGCGUCUGAUUAAGCACCUUGUUUUGUACUAGUACGAGUGACCAUCCUGUGGGCUACAGUAAUUGUGAAUUAUUAGUUUUCAAAUGUAAUUAUUUACAAAUGUCAUUGUGAAUUUUUGUAACAUAACAAAAUCUUUCCGGAGUAGAUAGUCCUAUAGAUUCUUCCACAGUUCACAAAGUUUUCCCUACUUCUUGGUUGGCAACUUCGGGCUUUGUACGAGGCAAAACUUAUUGAACACGUGUUUUGUUUUUCAGGAAGUUAGCUGAGGCUACCCAAAAGAUUUAAGAGGUAAUGCUGAUCAAGUUUUGUUUUUCAGGAAGUUAGCUGAGGCUACCCAAAAGAUUUAAGAGGUAAUGCUGAUCAAGUGCUCAAUUCUCUACAUGGAUAUUGGAAUAUGUGACGCAUAGUUACAUGUGAUGGUUGUCGAUUGUUUUUCGCUAUGACCGUUGCAGGGCACCUCUUUGCUGCACCUGAAUCCAUCCAUUAGACCAUAUCCCAAAAAUUCAUCUCUAGUCCCCACAUAGGUUGGUUCACGUACCGCUAUUGGAUUUGGACGCAAAAUGCAGUAGGAGUAUGGAGCUACAUUUUUUUCUCCAACACGUCAAAAUCAGUACUCCCAUUUUGUAUUAGCAAAAGGACGGCUUAGAAGACGCAUUGUAGAAACCACCGACGGUGGGAACGCCCAAGACGAUACUCCCAACUUGAUUAAUUUGGAGCUACAUAAGAUGAUAAGAACCGUGGCGCCACAUGACGACAUUUUUUUUGCAACAAUUGUACCGUGAGAAAUGUGCUAUGGCACUAUGGGUCUAUGGCAGGACCCGCCCGCACCGCCGCACGUCACCGGACAAAGAGUGCAGAGGCAGGUGUAGUACGGCAUCAUACUGUUUGCUGGACACCAACGCCGGCCCACGUCUACAUAUAUACGCCGGCCAGUAUAGGAUCCAAAGGAGGUGAGGCCCGGGCCGCGGCAGGUACGCACGGCGUGCACGUCCUAGGAUGGUUCAUUCUGUUCCCCUGGGGCUGGGUUAUUCGUUGAACCUUCCCCUCUCGAUCAGCUGAUCAGACCUGUGUAUGCGCUGUAUCUGGAUAAGCUUUUCUUUCUCGCCGCCCCCUGCUCCUAGCUUGAUCGGUCGGAUUCGCUUGGCGCCUCGUACGUGCAUCUGAUCUGCGUGUGUGUGCCCACCAUAUGGGCUGGCAGGAACGCAUCUGGUGCUGGAUCAAGACGUUAAACGACACACGCUACUAGCUAAGCUGGGCUCUCCCUGCAGUGACCACCAAGCAAGCAAGCAUGCAUGUGUGUGCAUGCACUGAGCGCUACUACUGUGCUGUUUUAAUUCCACGUGCACGGUGCCAGUGUCUGAAAUUGCCCAAUUGGAUCAUAUGUUGAUUGCCAUUUGGAGCUCAGGUGUUAGAACAAAAGACGUCUUUGUAAAUACUCUUUUUUUUUCCAGAGUAAACGCUAUUGUCAAAUGUAACGCAAAUGUAAUAGUGCGGAAAGAACCUUUGGGUUGUUAGGGCUGUACAAUGGGGUGACAUCAGCCUUUUCUUAAGAUUGUCACGUAAGAUAAUUGCUGACGUGGAAGAAACAUGAGUGAAGAAAGGCAUGAGCCAUGGGCGGACCCAUGUUCAUGCUUGUGGGGGCAGCGGCCCCCACUUAACUUUCUAAUCUCCUUGUAUUUUGUUCAUGAAAUAUGAGAUUGCCCCCGUAUUUGCCCCCA